rnacentral:ncRNA from 1 species
CAUCCAGACCGGCUGAGGGACAGGCCCGACGACGCCGGGGCAACCGGCCCGCAUCUCGCGGGUGCACGGUGCCAAUUCCUGCGGAGGGCGCGGUUGCCCGCCGGAAGAU